rnacentral:hammerhead_ribozyme from 1 species
AUUUAACUGACAAGUCCCAAACAGGACUAAAUGCGUGUCCUGUAU